rnacentral:rRNA from 1 species
UACGAAGGGGGCUAGCGUUGCUCGGAAUCACUGGGCGUAAAGGGUGCGUAGGCGGGUCUUUAAGUCAGGGGUGAAAUCCUGGAGCUCAACUCCAGAACUGCCUUUGAUACUGAGGAUCUUGAGUUCGGGAGAGGUGAGUGGAACUGCGAGUGUAGAGGUGAAAUUCGUAGAUAUCACUUGGAACGCCAAAGGUGAAGACAGUCUGCUGGGGAUCUGCUGACGCUGAGACACGAAAGCCAGGGGAGCGAACGGG